rnacentral:rRNA from 1 species
UGAUCAUGGCUCAGAUUGAACGCUGGCGGCAGGCCUAACACAUGCAAGUCGAGCGGUAGCGGGAAGAGCUUGCUCUUUGCCGACGAGCGGCGGACGGGUGCGUAACACGUAGGAAUCUGCCCGGUAGUGGGGGAUAGCCCGGAGAAAUCCGGAUUAAUACCGCAUACGCCCUAAGGGGGAAAGCAGGGGAUCUUCGGACCUUGCGCUAUCGGAUGAGCCUGCGUCGGAUUAGCUUGUUGGUGGGGUAAAGGCCUACCAAGGCGACGAUCCGUAGCUGGUCUGAGAGGAUGAUCAGCCACACUGGGACUGAGACACGGCCCAGACUCCUACGGGAGGCAGCAGGAA